UACGGGAGGGAGCUAGCGUUGUUCGGAAUUACUGGGCGUAAAGCGCGCGUAGGCGGCUUUGUAAGUUAGAGGUGAAAGCCCGGGGCUCAACCCCGGAACUGCCUUUAAGACUGCAUCGCUUGAAUCCAGGAGAGGUGAGUGGAAUUUCCGGUGUAGCGGUGAAAUGCGUAGAUAUCGGAAGGAACACCUGUGGCGAAAGCGGCUCACUGGACCAUUACUGACG
rnacentral:rRNA from 1 species